AGCUCCAUUUUCAUUCUUGGUAACAAACCAUUGCAGGUCUCCAUCGUCACUUCACUCUCUUGUCUCUUCCCGUCACUUCUGUUGCGCUCAAAAGAGUUGCAGUAGAUCGACGCUUGAUUAUACUUAAAAACCAGUUGAAUAAUUGGUUGGAGGGGAAAAGAUCGUUUAGAUUCUGCAAAAGCCAGAAAAAUUCUCUCUCUACUCUCAAAAAGGUCGAGACUCGACGAGACGUUAUUUUACAGUUUUAAAAGAUCACACCAAUCAGAUCGAUCGGCCUCUCGUCUUAGGUUGUUUGCGAAGGUAGCAGCUCCACAUCGCCACCCACUUCUCUCUCUCACUGUUUCCCGCUGAUUUCAUCUCUCCUCGAUUCUUCAACUCCUGAUUUUGGAGUAGCUUGUACUUUGCUGGGUUUAUCACGAAAGGUAUUUCUAUCUACUUCUGUUCUACUUGAUUGAAUGCCAGAAGAAAAGGGAAGCAAAUUUAUGUACCCACUACUCUCUAGAGAAAAAGAGAGAGAGCCCAACAAGGAAGCAAGCUAAGUCUCGAGAGGGAUUCUGGAAAGAAGGGGAGUUUAUUUUGGGUUUGAGAGGAGUAAAGGGUAUAUAUUAGAAGCCCCAAGAACAAACCUCCGGAAUUGGAAAAUCUUGGGUUUCAGGAACAAGGGAAGGUGGAGGUCAGCCAGUGAAAGUGCCGAAUCUUCUUCUUAUGGUCUACGUGAUGCCAGUUGCAGAAGUAUUGCAUCCAAAGGUGUUGGAGUUGUUGUCGUCGUCAACGUUGUUUCCUCUUCUGGGCUUUCCUCUUCUCCUCCGCCUUCAACACCCUGCAUUUCCCAACCACGAUUACAAUCGAGAUUCUUCACUCUAAAACAUGGCCGUUCCUUUUAACAUUGCUCAUCCAAUGUAUAGCAUCAGAGAUAUCCACAAGCAAAAGUCGACCACCAAUAGUUGUUAAUCUUCUGUUUAUUUUAUCUAAUCCACUGUUUAUGCGCAGCUAAGACAUGGCUGUUCCUUGUAGCAUUGCUCAUCCAACGCAUAGCCUCAGAGAUAUCCACAAGCAAAAGGACACCGAAGUUGCUUUCUCCAAAAACCUUCAAAUUAUCAUCCAACGAGCAAAGGAUGCAAAGUUUGACCUGUGUCAAGAUCUUUAUUGUGCUUCAUUUGAUUUACUCAAUUAUCAUUUAGCACUCACAUUGAGUAGCUUACAUGGUUGUUUAUGUCUAGGAUGUUUGCGAGAUUUGGAAGUUGUGUCUGUACUUGAUUAGCUGUAGGAUUUAAGUGAUCCAAAAGUACCAUUCUGGAAAUACAUGGAAGUGCUUGUAUUUCAUCCGACAAUUGGCUUUUCUUUCUUUUUCUUUCUUAUCCAUCAGUCAGGAGGCUACUUCAUGUGUCUGUUAAAAUUAUAUCUGAUCAGUUUUAACAGACACAUGAAAUGAACAACAUCCACACCUUUGCUUACCUGUACGUUGUUUACCAGUAAUUCUGUUACAGGUAAAUGUAACAGAGUUACUCAAUUCUGUUCAGGAUCUCUAUUGUGCUUCAUUUGAUUUACUCAAUUAUUAUAUAUCACUCACAUUGAUUAGCUUACAUGGUUGUUUAUAUCGAGGAUGUUUGUGAGACUUGGAAGUUGUAUUUGUACUUGAUUAGCUGCAGGAUUUAAAAGGAACAAGGAACCUUUGUGGAAAUACAUGCUUGUAAUUCAUCCGACCAUUGGCUUUUCUUUCUUUUUCUGUCUUAUCCAUCAGUCAGGAGGUUGCUUCAUGUGUCUGUUAAAAUUAUAUCUGACCAGUUUUAACAGACACAUGAAAUGAACAACAUCCACACCUUUGCUUACCUGUGCGUUGUUUACCAGUAAUUCUGUUACAGGUAAAUAUAUUAAAAGAUUUGGGAGAGUUGAUUUUAUAAAUAUCCAUAAAAUGAUUUUUUUCGGGUUUAAAUAGCCACCUUAUUGGAACAGCUCCAAGAAGAGUACAUGGUUCAAUAUGAGAAAUCCUAACUCUAGUUUGGGACACAAAGCAUAAAUACAUAGAGUUUAGAAAUACAGAUUAGGUUUGACAGUUCAAAAAACAUUAUGAUCAAUGUCUGAUCAAGUAAAAGGGAAAAAUAAGUAAUGAGAAAUAAUAGGACAGAAAUUAAGAAAAUUAAUAGAAUUGAAAUUAGGCAGAAUUGGGGCUCAUAGAGGGAGAACUUAAAACUUCUAAACCACUGAUCAGUUAGGCAUCAGUGAGUCCUAAGAGGUUUACAUAUGGGUGAUUUCUCUCAACUAUGAAGGGGUGUGAUUGGCUCCGCUAGGGAAUCUAACAGAAACAGGCGAGGUAGCUAAAUAGUGAAUAUCACAGUUAUGAUAGUGGGUCUUAACAAUAGGAAUCAAAAGAGAAUAGAUACGGGACAUAGAAUUAAGAGAGGUGAACACAACACACUAGCUGAAACUGGACAGGAAAACAAUGUAUCUGCAGGGUAUAAUUUUCAAAAGAGAUUAGAUACGGGACACAGAAUUAAGAGAGGUGAACAAAACACACUAGCUGAAACUGGACAGGAAAACAAUGUAUCUGCAGGGUAUAAUUUUGAACUUAAACUGAUCUGAAUUUAUAGCAGAACUGAACCAGAACAAGAGGAAUAAGAAGUUGAAGAGAUGUUCACGGUAAUCCACCGGUGACAAUCAGGGAAUCCUCACUUAAAACCUUGAGGAGUCCAUGUCAAUAUCUCCCAGUGAAUCCACAUAUAAGACUGAAAGCAUCAGCAGAACAUUUUAUUCAGUAAAAACUGUGUUUACGAGCAACACUCCUUAAUCUGUGAAUGAAAAUAUAAUUUCUAAUAUGCAAAUAAAAUUGUAGACUGAGUGAUCUAAAAUAGAACCUCUUAUAACCGCUUCUAGAGCUUCUAGGCUCAGAUUCAACUUAAGUUCUCAAACAAAUUACAAACAAGAAUAACUCAAAUUGAAAUAAAAACUAGAAGAGAGCUUCUUCUGUAGUUUUAGUGUUAGGCUUCUAGAGUACUGCACGGUUUAGGGUUAUAACACCUUUCUUUGAUCUUGGUUUCUGCUGCAUUAGUACAUGCCCAAAGAGGCAGGCCCAUAAGGUCUUAGAACGGAAAGAAAAUUGAAACACCCCAAGAUAAAAAAUGUAGUUCUUCUAUGAUCUCAUUAUGGAAGUUCAAUCACUGGGACCUGGAAAUCAAUUCCCAUGAUUUAGAGUUCGACCUUCCUGUUUGUUGUGACAUGAGAUUCUGCUUUAGAGUCUUCACUUUUCUGUUUUAUUUGGUGGGCUAAAUAUCCCCAUGGAUUUUCUAAACAAGUCAUUGCCUUAAACAUAUUCCAAAUGAAUGUUAGCAACUUGGUUGAUUGUUACUUGGGGCACACUGAUUGACCUACUUGCCUUCAAUUCGUGGGCUUAAAAUACUUGCAAUGGAUGGCUACUAGCAUAUUAGGGAUUUCAGUCUAGAGGGUUUCUGAUAUUUAAUUAGAAAAGCUAUGAUUCCAAAAUUUUGUUGGAAGAAUAAAAGUUAAUUGAUACCUUUGAAAAUAUGUGAUUCUAUAUUUUCUUUUGGAUUUAAUUGGAUUCCCCACUUUUACUCCUCCUUACAUUACUUCUUUUUGGACCUUGAGUUUGCUUGGAAUUUAGUGUUACAUGUCCAUUGUACCAUUUGAUAGUUAGACCGAAACAAUUGGCAGGUGUACAUUAAAACUCCUGGGGGAGAAUCCCAAAUCAAACAAGAGAAGCCCAACUACAAUGGAAUGAUGCUGCAAGUGUGGAAGAAUCUUGGAAUACAUUGUGGAGGAGGUUGAAGUAUCUGGUUGAGAACCACAUCAAGAUGGUGAUGCUCAAAUGAUUUUUUUGGUUGGAUUGAUGAUUUGGGUUUUCUUGUAGGAUUUUGAAUGAAGGAAUCACAUAUCAUGCUUAUAAUGGUGUACUAUGGGUUCUGGGGUAUUUCUCAUUGUUAUACAUAGUUUCUAAUUUUCUUAAUAUCAUACAGUUAUUUGUGAGUCCAUAAUUACGACUACAUUAUUGUCAUCUAUUUAUUGAACUGUUCUGGUUUUGUGGGCUUUACUGGUAAUAUUUCUGAGUUGCAGUUGCCUUGAAGUUGCAAGGUAUGCUUAUUUUUGCUUUAUUGCUUUUGUUUUCUUUGAAGAUUUAUUAUUUUUGCAAUGCAUUUGAAGGAGCCUUGCAAGAACUCUCUUUUGUGCUGCUUCCCCAAGCAAGUGUGGAUACUCUACAAUGCUCAUCUCUCACCUCUAUGAAGUUUGGCACUAGCUGGCAUAUAAUCUGGACCUGAUUGAUGCAUCAUGCAUGUGCUACCCAUAUUCAGUAACGUGACUUCAGUUGUAAGUUUUACUUCUUUUUCUGCAAUCCCCAUGCCAAUGACUAUUUACUUUGGAGAUUAUUGUUGAUUUUGUGUCCUUUAAAGAUGUGAGUUUGAUCAAUUCAGUAGCACUAUUUUUCCCCUGCUUGAUUUGUGCAAUAAACUAUUUUUAAUUGUAAGUAAUAUAUAUUUUGGAUGUGCUAUGGGACGUUCCCACAUUCCAGUCUGAAUAUGGGAUCAUACUCCGGUACAUUUUGACAUUAAGAGAUUAUCACUUUCACAUGAGGAAAAGGGUCUACUGCAGUGAGUUCAAAAGUACAUUUGAUAUUUGCACGACUUCCCCUCUUCAAUUUAGGACAAGGUUGACGCCUAAGAUGCUACUAAGAACCGUCCGAAAUAUUUCUUAAAUUUUGUAUGUCUGUUUUAUUUGUUUGGAACUAGGUCUCAUGCUCUUAUACAUGAGCAAGUUGGAGACAAGAUUGAGUGGGAAGAACAGCAUGCCAAACCCAAAGGAAGAAGUAUUUCGCUGCAUUCUAACCCUAUGUUCCCUUUUGGAAAAACCCUACUGGGGAUUUCACCGAUAAUCUUAGAGAAGGCAUUGUUAAGAGAUUCAUUCAGAUUUUCUCGCAUGUAAGGUAUUUCACGUGGAUUAUUGUCAUCUAUUCGUUCAGAUUUUCUUGAUUCUGAAGACUAAAGGUGCAGGUAAUAUUUUCUUCCUGUUGGUCUCUCAUUUAAGUUCAAAAUGACGCUUCUCAUCUGGUAUAAUCAUCUAACUUCGUGUGAGGAAUUUCCUUACAUUUUUUUUUUCUCUCAUAUUUAUUGUUUCCUUUAGAAAUAUAAUCCCAUUUUAUUUUGGGGUUUGUUAUAGUGAUUUGGUUAACAGGGAACAUUGGAGGAGAUAAAAUGGCUAAGAGAUUUUCUCUAGGAAAUGCAUUAAGGAAUAGGCUCUUCGAAAGAAAAAACCAACACCAAAUCGAAAAUCCUGAACAUGUUUCAUCUAUCGUUAGAGAACAUAUCGAGAAGAUCUUGAAGGAGAACUUGGAGCUCUUGUGGAUUUUGGCAGAGAAGAAAUAUCCUUGUCCAUCAUUAAAGCAAGAAGAAAGAGCAGAGGAAGCCAAUGCUGGCAUGGUUGGCAGUUGUGGAGUGCCAAGAAAGCAGAAGUGACCCCACUUGCUCCUGUUCAGCUUGCCAAUAUCAUUGGGGAACUCAUAAGGAGGGGUGGACAAAGAGGAAUUCCCAAAAAUGCCACCAUGACGUGCUCAACCUCAGUAUGAGCUAUGGCCAAGGAAGAAGGGUCGGGCUGCCAGAGCUACCCCUCAUGUGCCAGUAGGGGAUGAGGCAGGAAGGGAGAAUGCAGUUGGGGUGACCCUACCCGUACCCCUGCAACAGCAACACCUGUGCCGCCACCUGCACCACCAAUGAUCACAACACUGGAUGUGGCAGCCAUUGUAACAAACAUGACGCAAGGGAUACACGAAGGGUUGUAGCGAACCAUACAGCAAAAUAUGUAGCAGCAAAGGGCAAUGGUUGAAGAAUUGGUCACUGCCAUACGUGCCAGGGAAUCACCAACAAACCAUGUAUCUAUGGCACCACCCCCACCAACCCCUACAGCUCCUGCUCUUAACUCUUUGUUUGUUUUUCGAGUUGCAGCCACUAGUCAGGCUAGUAGUGGACAAACAUCCCAUGCACCACCAGCUAGGGGAACGUUUACAGGGCAACAGACUCCAGGAACCCCUCCCGUAGAACAAGUAUGGACUGAUACCAGCAAGUUGCUGGAAAAGUUUCAGAAGUAUCGGCCUCCAUAUUUUAGUGGGGUACAUAUGAUCCAUUGGCUCCUGCCAAAUGGAUAGGAGGAGUAGAGAAAGCUUUCUCAGUUCUGGGCUGCAAUGAUGAACAAAAGAUCUUGUGUGCUAAAUACCAGUUGCAGAAUGAAGCUCAUGCAUGGUGGAAGGCUACAAGACCCAUAUUGUCAGCCACAUAUCCACAUCCCACUUGGGACCAGUUUAUAGAAGUGUUCUAUGGGAAUUACUUUCCCAUAAGUGUGCAAGAUAGGGAGGAAUCUGAGUUCAUGGCAUUGGUGCAAGGUCCCAGAUUAGUGUUGGAGUACCAGCAGCAAUUUGAGGCACUAUACUAUUUUGCACUUGAGCCUAUGAAGACUGACAGGGCAAAAGCUAAGAAGUUUGAAAAGCGGCUGAGAUCUAGUAUUGGGUAGUACUGAUUGCACACAGGCUCCAGACAUAUGCUGAAGUGGUUCAGAUUGCCAAUUCCGUUAAAGCUAAGCAGAGAGGGGGCUAUCAAAUUCAGCCAGCGAGGAAAGCCAAGGCAACGGGAAUUGGAAGGCAGUUUGGGAAGUUUGUGAAGGGAGCUACAUGUACAGUUAUUGUGCCUGGGAAGAUUGACUCAGGUCAAGCAUCUACCUAGUCCCGGCCAGCAACCACCACUAUCCAGCCUCUAUCCAUGAGGUGCUAUGUGUGCCAAUAACCAGGACACUUGGCCAGAUCUUGUCCCCAGAGGAAGCCAGCAGAGCCCAAUGUGACUUCUUCAUCUGCAUUCACCCGGAAACCAUAAGUGGCUGGGAAGGUGUUUGCAUUGUCAGCUGAGGAAGCUGAGAUUGCCCCUGGAGUUGUAACAGGUACAAUAUUAGUUUCCACAGUACCAACAUUUGUAUUCUUUGAUUCUGGUGCAUCUCAUUCUUUUGUGUCUUCACAUUUUGCUACGAGAAUGGGGAUAGAACCGAAAAAGUUAGCACAUAAGUUGAUGAUUAGUACACCCACUGAGUUUAUAGUGGAGUUGGAGGACGUAUAUGAACCAUGUUUGAUUCAAAUGUGUGGUUGAGAUAUGAUAGCCCAUUUGAUUUGCAUAGAUAUGAAGGAUUUUGUUGUUACACUAGGAAUGGACUGGUUGUCAGUAUACCGAGCUUGUGUACUUUGUGCAGAGAAGAAGAUAGUAUUUAGACCUCGGGAUGGAGAUGAUUUUACAUUUCAAGGGAAUAGGAGAGACAACGCCAAGAAAUUACUAAUUUCUGCCAUACAAGUUCAGAAAUUACUAGAAGAAGGGUGUGAAGCCUAUUUAGCAUGUGUCAGGGAUACUACCAAGAAGAUUGCAACCCUAGAACAGGUAGAAGUAGUCAGAGAAUUUCAUGACCUGUUUCCUGAAGAUCUAUGUAGUGUGCCCCCAGAUAGGGAGACAGAAUUUUGCAUUGAUUUAGUACCUGGGGCAGUACCUGUAUCUCGAGCACCAUACAGAAUGGUUACUGCUGAAUUGAAGGAAUUGAAAGAGCAAUUGCAGGAUUUAUUGAAGAAGGGUUUUAUUAGGUUUUAUUAGACCCAGUGUAUCAUCCUGGGGAGCUCCAGUCUUAUUUGUAAAGAAAAAAGACGGUAGU